AGAGUUUGAUCAUGGCUCAGGAUGAACGCUAGCAGGAGGCUUAACACAUGCAAGUCGAGGGGUAACAGGUUGGAAUUUCGGUUUCGAUGCUGACGACCGGCGAACGGGUGAGUAACGCGUAUGCAACCUACCUUUUACAGAGGGAUAGCUUUCGGAAACGGAAAUUAAUACCUCAUAACACUGCGAAUUGGCAUCAUAAUGCAGUUAAAACUUUGGUGGUAAAAGAUGGGCAUGCGUAACAUUAGCUAGUUGGUGAGGUAACGGCUCACCAAGGCGACGAUGUUUAGGGGACCUGAGAGGGUGAUCCCCCACACUGGUACUGAGACACGGACCAGACUCCUACGGGAGGCAGCAGUGAGGAAUAUUGGUCAAUGGACGGAAGUCUGAACCAGCCAUCCCGCGUGCAGGACGACGGCCCUAUGGGUUGUAAACUGCUUUUCUGAAGGAAGAGUAAUCCCGACGUGUCGGGAGACGACGGUACUUCAGGAAUAAGCAUCGGCUAACUCCGUGCCAGCAGCCGCGGUAAUACGGAGGAUGCAAGCGUUAUCCGGAUUUAUUGGGUUUAAAGGGUGCGUAGGCGGAUUAAUAAGUCAGUGGUGAAAUCUUUCGGCUCAACCGAGAAACUGCCAUUGAUACUGUUAGUCUUGAGUUCGGUUGAGGUAGGCGGAAUGUGUAAUGUAGCGGUGAAAUGCUUAGAUAUUACACAGAACACCAAUUGCGUAGGCAGCUUACUAGACCGAUACUGACGCUGAGGCACGAAAGCGUGGGUAGCGAACAGGAUUAGAUACCCUGGUAGUCCACGCCGUAAACGAUGAUUACUCGUUGUUGGCGAUACACAGUCAGCGACCAAGCGAAAGCGAUAAGUAAUCCACCUGGGGAGUACGCUCGCAAGAGUGAAACUCAAAGGAAUUGACGGGGGCCCGCACAAGCGGUGGAACAUGUGGUUUAAUUCGAUGAUACGCGAGGAACCUUACCUGGGCUUAAAUGUAGAGUGCAUGAUCGGGAAACUGAUCUUUCCUUCGGGACUCUUUACAAGGUGCUGCAUGGUUGUCGUCAGCUCGUGCCGUGAGGUGUCGGGUUAAGUCCCAUAACGAGCGCAACCCCUAUCAUUAGUUGCCAUCGGGUAAAGCCGGGGACUCUAGUGAAACUGCCACCGUAAGGUGAGAGGAAGGUGGGGAUGACGUCAAAUCAGCACGGCCCUUAUGUCCAGGGCUACACACGUGUUACAAUGGUCGGUACAGAGGGCAGCUACCUGGUGACAGGAUGCGAAUCUCUAAAGCCGGUCCAAGUUCGGAUCGAAGUCUGCAACUCGACUUCGUGAAGCUGGAAUCGCUAGUAAUCGUAUAUCAGCAAUGAUACGGUGAAUACGUUCCCGGGCCUUGUACACACCGCCCGUCAAGCCAUGGAAGCUGGGGGUGCCUGAAGUUCGUAACCGCAAGGAGCGACCUAGGGUAAAACUAGUGACUGGGGCUAAGUCGUAACAAGGUA
rnacentral:rRNA from 1 species